rnacentral:rRNA from 1 species
UAGGGAAUAUUGGACAAUGGGCGAAAGCCUGAUCCAGCCAUGCCGCGUGUGUGAAGAAGGUCUUCGGAUUGUAAAGCACUUUAAGUUGGGAGGAAGGGCAUUAACCUAAUACGUUAGUGUUUUGACGUUACCGACAGAAUAAGCACCGGCUAACUCUGUGCCAGCAGCCGCGGUAAUACAGAGGGUGCAAGCGUUAAUCGGAAUUACUGGGCGUAAAGCGCGCGUAGGUGGUUUGUUAAGUUGGAUGUGAAAUCCCCGGGCUCAACCUGGGAACUGCAUUCAAAACUGACAAGCUAGAGUAUGGUAGAGGGUGGUGGAAUUUCCUGUGUAGCGGUGAAAUGCGUAGAUAUAGGAAGGAACACCAGUGGCGAAGGCGACCACCUGGACUGAUACUGACACUGAGGUGCGAAAGCGUGGGGAGCAAACAGGAUUAGAUACCCUUGUAGUCCCUGAGCGGGCUGGCAAGGCGCAU